CGCGUAGGCGGUCUGGUAAGUCCCGUGUGAAAUCCCUCGGCUCAACUGGGGAAUGGCACGGGAAACUGCUUGGCUUGAGUUCGGGAGAGGGAAGCGGAAUUCCGGGUGUAGCGGUGAAAUGCGUAGAUAUCCGGAGGAACACCGGUGGCGAAGGCGGCUUCCUGGACCGACACUGACGCUGAGGCGCGAAAGCUAGGGGAGCAAAACGG
rnacentral:rRNA from 1 species